CGACGCCCGAGGACCCGACGGAGCUACACCCGCUAGUUCAGCCAGGAGGCCCUGCGCGGCUCCGGGGAGAGCUGGGUGGUUAUGCCACCUCAUUAGACACAUUGGUGGACGAUGCCGCGGAUUAGCGGGAUGGUUUGUGUACAAACGAAGCCGUGUCACUUCUCAAGUGUCGGUGCUCAACGUGGCAACGCCCCUCCCGCCCCCAGUACAGAGAUCCUGCCCAUCCACCGACAAUCCCCCUCCUCAUCUUCCUUCCCCCAGGUGCGAGUGAUUCAAGGAAAUCCGACUGGAGGGAACACACGCUGCGAUGCACCCUCUCCUCUUCCAUUGAGCCAGGGGUGACCUUGAGAGACUCAGGCCACCUCACCAGGCUCUACCAGGAACAGCGUCUACAGCUGGUAGAGAGCACGGGCUGCAGAGAGAAAUCAAUACAGAACUCUGGAACCCACUGCUUUAGAAGAUAAGAAUCUCUUUCCUGCUCCGAUCAUUCUGGCUUGCCUUGGAUUUAAGGCUCUUCCAGAAGGACCUGGCCCUGAUUCACUGGGAUAAUGUCCACCAUGUCCAGGGGCACUGCCCAGAGGGGGUACUUUUCAUAUUCUCUACCAACUAAUCUUCCACCUGCCAGCCUAGGGGGCAGUGAGUGGAGAACGCUGGGAAUUCAGGGUUGGGGAGGAGGGACAGCAACAGGAAAAGAUUGAACAUAUGUGCCAAUUAGGCCAGGAGAUGAGGACCCCAGACCCGGAAGAAGGAGGAAGAAGAAAGACACACUUGAUCUUCCUGCUUAGAAUGUUGGCAGAAGUCAUAUUCAAAAGAUAAGAGAAUCAAGACUUAUGAAACAAAAGAAAACCAAAGAAAGGCAACACGGCCGAUGCUAGGUGGGGAUUACUAGCUAGUAAAGAGCUGUCGAGUGUUUGAUGCCAUUUAUUCAUUUGAGCUCUCCAGUUGCCUAGUUUUUCAUUCAACAAGUGUCGUCUGAAGGUGUUGUGUGGACAGAACGUUGUGUGGGAUCCAAAGCUGAAACAGAUACUUAAGUCUGUGCUCUAGUAAAUAAGAUAGGACACGCAUAUUUACCCCACAGGGAGCAAUAAAUACUCUAAGACCAUUACAAAUUGUUCUGGGAGUUCAGAGGAGGGAAUUUAUUUCUAGUCCAGAGCAAUGAAGGGUGACCUCCUGGAGGAAGUGGCAGUUGAAUGGGGGCCUUGAAGGAUGGGUGAGAUUUAAACAUGCAAACUAUCAGCAAGGGAAACGGGAGAGCAACGCAGGAGCAAACAUCAAGAUGGGAAAACACAAAGCAUGUAGGGGAAACACAAAUGCAAUAUUUUGUAUUAUGGGCGAGGCUCUACAAGAGGCACUGGAUUGCAAUGGGACUAUUGUUUCCAGGGGCCCUCUGGGCUGGUGGUCAAACUACUGGAACUAUCACUAUUUCAGACCAAGCCGGGCUCACAAGUCUUAGCUGUUCUUGCCAAUUCUUCUCCUGAAUACUCACUCCAAUAAGAGCAGUCAGGAAAUGUUUCUUGGGAAAUAGCUUCAAAGACACCAACAUACCACUAUGAACACUUAAAAUAUGGAGACAGAGCAUUUGGAGUACUGCUCCCAGCAUGUUGGAGGGAAAAGAAGCAAGACCCUUCCCAGAGCCUUGAGACAAGAGUUGUGUCAACUGUGGAUGGCUGUGCCCCAGUCACUUGAGAGACAUGAAUCAAUUUCCAGCUGCAUUUAUCACUUGCUGCCUUAAAUCAAGUCUAAUCAAUGCUUCCUUCAUUUGGUAUGGAUUGAAACUAUAUAUAACACACUCAGAAAACAGGAGAGAAAAGCAGCAGAUCACAAAAAUUCCAUCAGGGAUUUAGAUGGAAUGAUGUUAGAGAAACAUUUGCAAUCUUUCAUUUGCUCUAAUGGAGACCCCUGACCAAACAAUCAGAGAUUUGCGUUUAUGAAGCUUCAUUUGAAUUUACCUGACAUGCAAUGACAUUCCAUGACAGGUCAUUUGAUACAUUGGGGGGGGGGGGUGGUUUCUGCAUCUUUAAGGAUUUUAUAAUUAAUACACUCUUAGGAUCUGAUGUAUAUUUAUAAUUUUAUUCCUAUACUAAGUUUUAAACUCAUUUCCAUUUAUUUUAGAGAUAUCUGUUUUGUCAUCAUUGACUAUAUAAGUCAAUUUCCAGUUAUAACAUAUAAAGUAAUAAAAAUCCCUUUG
rnacentral:lncRNA from 10 species